GACUUGCACGCAGGCUGAAGCACGUGGAAAAGGCAAAUUGGGGUGCCCAGAAAACUGCAAGAGUGUUCGAUGUUAUGAGGGCAGGCUACUGUACAUGUCAUCAGAAGAAAGCGAGGUCGACGAAACAACAAAAAGGAUCAUGCGUUACAACGUUCGUAGGCUACCCUGGGAGAGUCCAUCUCUAUACGAAGGGCAAAGAAAAAGUUAGACAGGCUCCACACCUUGUCUUUGUCAGAACUGGUACGGAGCAGAAUUGUUCCUCGCGAGGAUGGACAGCCCUCCAUUCGACCUAAGCCAAACGACUUCCCGGAGUGGGCAGCUAAGAACGAGGAUGAUAAUGUUGUUGAUGAGAGUGCCCAGUCAUUAUCCCUAGUGGCUCUUCGCUGAAUGACUCUGUUAAUGACAUUUUCAUGAUCAUGACUCUGAUUGCUAUAGUUUUUCAGUAUAGUAAAGACCCACGAUAUAUCACCCAAAGUUUUCCAUGUUCUAAUGUAUUAAGAGUGCUUUAUAUAUUUGUUGUGAACCUGCAUGGCUUCUUAAACAGGUUCAUACAAAAUUCUAAACAGAAAUGUUAGACUGAAAGGUUUUUAUUCGUGGGUUUUCAUUCUGCACGUGAUAAUUUGAUAAUCAAAUUUAUGAGUUUGCGUAAUUUACACUGUUUAUACGAUAUGCAUUUAUUCUGCAUGG